rnacentral:piRNA from 1 species
UAUAGAAUUCUCAUCGACCCU